UGAAAUGCAAUGAAAAGGAAUAGUAACAGCGGAAUGGAAAUCAGAGAGCUGCCGGAAGGUGCGAGGCAGUCAGAGUGAAGUUGUGAACUCGCCUUGGAGCUGCCGGCUGAAGGAAUCGGAUGCAUUAUGAAUGAGCAGAUGAUACUGGGUAGGCUUGGACGGAUCGCCCGCCGUAAGAGGGAAAAGGCAUGAUAGUGCCGGAUGAGUGCAUGCAUGACGAUACAGGUCAUUCAUGAAACAGAGUGGUACCGCGUGAAGAAAAUUUUGCGUCUCUGUA
rnacentral:ncRNA from 1 species